GGGGAUUUAGCUCAGUGGUAGAGCGCUUGCCUAGCAAGUGCAAGGUACUGGGUUCGGUCCCCA
rfam:Rattus norvegicus chromosome 14, whole genome shotgun sequence.